AACGAACGCUGGCGGCAUGCCUAACACAUGCAAGUCGAACGAGACCUUCGGGUCUAGUGGCGCACGGGUGCGUAACGCGUGGGAACCUGCCCUUAGGUUCGGAAUAACUCCCCGAAAGGGGUGCUAAUACCGGAUAAUGUCUUCGGACCAAAGAUUUAUCGCCUUUGGAUGGGCCCGCGUUGGAUUAGCUAGUUGGUAGGGUAAAAGCCUACCAAGGCAACGAUCCAUAGCUGGGCUGAGAGGAUGAUCAGCCACACUGGGACUGAGACACGGCCCAGACUCCUACGGGAGGCAGCAGUGGGGGAUAUUGGAACAUGGGCGAAAGCCUGAUCCAGCAAUGCCGCGUGAGUGAUGAAGGCCUUAGGGUUGUAAAGCUCUUUUACCCGGGAUGAUAAUGACAGUACCGGGAGAAUAAGCCCCGGCUAACUCCGUG
rnacentral:rRNA from 1 species